rnacentral:rRNA from 1 species
AUGCAAUCGCCGACGGAGAAGCCGGGCCCUGAUGGUUUCACUAGGGCAUUCUUCAGAGCUUGUUGGUCGAUCAUCAGCAACGACAUCAUGGCGACCCUUCACCAGUUCUAUCACCUUGCUGGUGGUAAUUUGGCUACUCUGAACACCGCCUUUGUUGCACUGCUGCCAAAUAAGGACGGAGCCGUGCGGAUGACAGACUUUCGCCCAAUUAGUCUCAUCCAUUCCUUCGCUAAGCUGAUCACUAAGGUGUUGUCAAUUAGGCUGACCAAAGUAAUCCACACAAUUGUCUCCCCUACAUAGUCAGCCUUCUUGAAGACGAGGUGUAUACAAGACAGCUUCCUCUAUGUUCAGAAUGGAGUGCGUGCUCUACACCGCACCAAAACCCCAGCUCUCCUGCUCAAACUAGACAUCUCCAAAGCGUUUGAUAGCGUAUCCUGGGAUUACUUGCUGGAGCUGUUACAGGAGCUGGGUUUCAGCGCUAGAUGGAGAGAUUGGAUUGCCUGGCUGUUGGCUUCUUCACACUCGGAAUUCCUGCUUAAUGGAGUGCCAGGGAGGAAAAUACAGCACCGCAAGGGCCUUCGCCAGGGCGAUCCACUCUCCCCUCUGCUGUUCAUUUUAGCCAUUGACCUGUUGCAACGCCUGAUUGAUGCAGCAGUCCAGUGA